GAAUGCUGACAUAAGUAACGAUAAAGCGGGUGAAAAGCCCGCUCGCCGGAAGACCAAGGGUUCCUGUCCAACGUUAAUCGGGGCAGGGUGAGUCGACCCCUAAGGCGAGGCCGAAAGGCGUAGUCGAUGGGAAACGGGUUAAUAUUCCCGUACUUGGUGUUACUGCGAAGGGGGGACGGAGAAGGCUAUGUUGGCCGGGCGACGGUUGUCCCGGUUUAAGCGUGUAGGUGUGUGUUCCAGGUAAAUCCGGUUCACUUUAACACUGAGGCGUGACGACGAGGCACUACGGUGCUGAAGCAACAAAUGCCCUGCUUCCAGGAAAAGCCUCUAAGCAUCAGGUAACAUCAAAUCGUACCCCAAACCGACACAGGUGGUCAGGUAGAGAAUACCAAGGCGCUUGAGAGAACUCGGGUGAAGGAACUAGGCAAAAUGGUGCCGUAACUUCGGGAGAAGGCACGCUGACACGUAGGUGAAGUGAUUUACUC
rnacentral:rRNA from 1 species